rnacentral:rRNA from 1 species
GUCCACGCCGUAAACGAUGUCAACUAGCCGUUGGAAUCCUUGAGAUUUUAGUGGCGCAGCUAACGCAUUAAGUUGACCGCCUGGGGAGUACGGCCGCAAGGUUAAACUCAAAUGAAUUGACGGGGCCCGCACAAGCGGUGGAGCAUGUGGUUUAAUUCGAAGCAACGCGAAGAACCUUACCAGGCCUUGACAUCCAAUGAACUUUCCAGAGAUGGAUUGGUGCCUUCGGGAACAUUGAGACAGGUGCUGCAUGGCUGUCGU